rnacentral:rRNA from 1 species
AUGAAAAAAAAUCAACCUAGGAAAGAAGAUACUGGGUCUGGGAAGUACAUUGAACCAACUGAUUAUAAUGCUAGCCAGGAAUCUGUUGGUACACUGGGUGAGAAAAUGGCUGACAUACAUGGGGCAGGGGUUCUAGAGAAGGAUGGAGAAGAAAAAGAAGUGGAAUUAAAAAGAAGUCUCAGGAACAGAGGAAAAGAAGAUCAGAGGGUGGAAGAAAUGGCCAAAAUCAGAGCAGCAGAAAGAGACAAUUAUGAUAAAGGAGCCGUCAAGAAAAGUGCUGGAGCUGGGAGCAAGGCUGCUAGAACGAGUAGCAAAUGA